GCGCCUGUAGCUCAGCCGGACAGAGCAACGGCCUUCUAAGCCGUGGGUCGCGGGUUCGAAUCCUGCCGGGCGCG
rnacentral:tRNA from 1 species